rfam:Bacteroidetes bacterium GWF2_42_66 gwf2_scaffold_54, whole genome shotgun sequence.
AUACCUUGAUAACCACGGGUUUGGUUAAGUCAAGGAGUCAGCAGAGGCCAUAGUAGCCACCGGUAACGAGCCACGAAUAGAAACAGUGGAGGUCUCACAGGGGUAGUGAAGGGC